rnacentral:lncRNA from 1 species
GAAAUGUAAAUAUUUAUUGAUAAACAAUGAUGAAUUCCUCAUUUAUAACAAACAUUCUGACAUCAAUAACAUCUCAAAACAUACUUAUCAAUCACACAGCAUUCAAAGGUUGAAAUAGACUUAAAAUAAAGUGUUUUUACGGAGGACCACAAUAUACACUUUGAUGAAAUACUAGUAAAAGUCUGUUUUGAGUUAUAUUUCUUGAACAGCCCAGAAUGUUUUAUAAUGCUUUUAAGUUUCUAUUGCAAAGUGGCAUUUAUAUGUCAUAGAUAAGUUUGCUACUUUCCAGGAAAAAAUGUAGGCAAUUUAUAAUUUUAGAGCAAAAUAUGUGUUUCUGAAGUACACAACAUACAGUACAUACAUCCUGCAGUAAUGGUAACUUUUGACUGGUGUACUAAAUUUUAUAUUAUUUAUAUUUUUUUGUGAAUCCCUAUUUCAAGAUUUUAUUGCAACAACAACCCUUAAAAUUUAGUAGGGAUAAGAAAAAUUGAUUAUGAGAAAGUAAAGUCUAGGACGAAAUUAAAUUUAGAGGCAUUAAAAGCUAUCAAAUAUUUAUUAGCAUAUGAUAUUAGAGAAAACCAUGUGAAAAUACACUGUUUUCAAAUAUUUUCAUAUUUAUAUUUUUGCUGGCUGUGUAAUACACAAAAAAGUACUGUCAUGUCACAAAUACGAAACAUAAUAAACAAAUAUAUAUUUUGAUUAUCACAAUUCUAAAAUACAUGUAAAUGUUAUUAAUACCCUGCUUUACAAGACAUAUCAAAAGCUUUUAAUGAUAUCAAAUUUAUAUUCAUAAAUACUGCAAAUUAUAUCAUGGUGUUCUCUCUCUGUGGAAAACAUUUUAUAUCUACUAAUUCACUAAACAGGAACAUGUAACUACUGAGGAUAUUUCAUAUUCUCUUGGUGUAUUAAUUUAUCAUUACAAGAAAUUAACAAGCAGAAUUUGUGAUCUUUGCUCCUAAUUAUCACUUAUGACUUUUGGUCAUUCAAAGAAAAAAACCUAUGUGUUAAAAAAUUAUUCCUGUUUAAUAAAUAAUUUCCACAAAAGUGAUGCUAAAACUUUAUAUGACUUUUCAUAGUGGACAAAGUUGCAUUUCACAAACAGUUAUUGGAUUCCGAUGAAAUAAAACAAUGCAUUACU